AACCAUGGAGUUGAAGAGGCCACGUGGGAGAGAGAAGAGGACAUGAAGACCCAGUACCCAGAGCUGUUCGAGGAGUAGAGCUUUCGAGGACGAAAGCUUUCUAAGGGGGGAAGUAUGUAACACCCCAAUGAUCUCAUGUCGUUCAUUUUUUAAAUUCAAUUAUUUAUUUUUAUUUUAUUCAUCUAUUUGUUUAUAAUUAAAUAAUGAAACUUAUGUCAUCAAGAUGUGAAUUUUUCCCCUUUUAAAAUAUUAAGCAAAUUUCAACUUUAAUUAUACUUGGUAAUUAAAGAUUUAAUUGGUAUUUGGAAGUUGAGGGAAAGGAGGAAUUUGGGGGAAAUAUUGGUAAAUUAGAGAGAGAAGAGUGAAAUUUGGAAUUUAUUAAAGAAGAGAAAAAGAGGGGAAUUUAUUUUAUAAAAGGAAAAGGAAAGGAAAAGAAAAGGAAAAGAAAAGGAAAAGAAAAAGGAAAAAGAAAAAGAGAAAGAAGAAGAAGAAGCCGAGAAACCCUAGCCACGCCGCCGCCGCCGAGUCGACGCACAUCGUCCCAGCCGCGUCGGAGAUCAGGUCAAGUCGAGCCGUCGCACGCCAGCCGUCGCCCGAAGCCGCGUUACACCCGUGCCUGCGCCGCGCCGCAUCGAUCCGAGGGAGAGCAGCUGAAGCCGCGUCGCCGAGCCGCCCAGUCCCAUCGUGCGCAACCGCCAACCACUGCGUGAAGCCGCGCACUGCCAAGUCACCGACCCGCAGCAGUCGACGGCGUCAGCCGCGCGCCUCCAGCCGUGAAGCAGAACCCGCGUUUCGGCUGAUCUGCGCCCGCCCGUCGGCCCGAGUCCAAAACCGACCCGCGCCGCCCGCCGAACCCGAACUCCGCGCGCGCGCCUACUCCAAGCCGAGCCGCGCCUCCCUGCUGACGUGAGCCGAGCCGCUCGCGCAAGCCCCUUUCGCCAGGACUGAGCCGAGCCGAUUCUGUCCUUCUUCCAGCCGAGCCGCCAAGACAAUUUUGGCUCCUUCCACCUAGUUUUUGCAACUUGGACCAAAUAGCUGCUGCAGCUUAGGACUUCCUCAGUAGGAACUCAUCUAGCAACAUCUCGAGGUAGAGGACGAGGUAAGGGCAAAGGCAAGCUGGCGAGCGACGUGAAGUGACCGUGGCGAGCCAUAGGGGUUUUCCUGCUUCCGCACAUGUUUUACUUUACAGUUAAAUUCAUGUUUCGGCUUUCUGCAUAUUUACUUUGGUUAUUUUUGUAGAUAGGGCCCGCUUAGGGAUUUUAAACUUAACUCGUAUUUCUACAUGUUACCUUAACUAUCUUUCAUAAAUACAUUUGCUAGAUUUCUUUGCAUUUAUUUACACCAGAUUUUAUGACUUAAACACUGAUCCUAGAUUCAGUAACCACUUCGA